GCAGCUGCCCCAAGUCUAUAAUUCCUCUUUUGCAUUUUACUAAAUUUCUUUAUCAUUAAGUUAGUUUAAUUUGGGUUUCUGUUAUUUGCAGCCAAAAGCAUUCUAACCAAACUCACUCAUGACAUGUCCCUACACUGCCUUGUAGGCAGUAAUUUAUGUCAAUGUGGGUGUCCCUAUUAGGUUGUGCAUAACUUGAGGGCAGCAGUCAUGUCCCAUCCAUUUUUUUUUCUUUUAAAACACUUAAAAUAGUGUCUUGCAAAUAGUCACAAUUUUACUCUUUUUGAUAAAUAACAAUGUCGAAAGCAAUAUACUCUGACAGCUUUUGGCCUUACUUAACAGCAGUGAAGCCUCUAUUAAAAAACAGAAUUUGCUUUUUUGAUCGAUAAUUAUAAAAGCCAAUGCUUGGUAGAAAUGAAUAAAAUCAUGGUCUUUCAGGAUCUUUUUAGAGUUGUUCAUGCAAUUGAUGGACACAAAAAAGCUUAUUACGAAUUAAAUCAUUGAAUUAUGUUUUCAUAACAUGCAACCAAGUACACUCCCUCUAGCUUUCCCUCUAUCAGAACUAAUUUCAGGCAUCUGUUUAUAGAGUGAAGAUGAAUUUUAUUGGUGACAAAUGCACUCCUGCAUUAACAAAUUAAGUGCAUUCUCAAAGGGGAAAAAACAAACUCAGAGAAAAUUGGGUUGUCUGUUCUUGAAGUCUAAAAAAGGACUUCUGUCCUCAGGGGACAUCCAGCAUUUUUGUAAUCAUGUAGAAAGGAAAACAUGUGCCUCUUGGGUAUAACAUUAAAAUAAAUUAAUUUUGCUGCCUUAUUCGUAAUGGCUAAUGGCAAAUUGGGGGUGUUUAUUUCUAGACUCCUCUUGCUCAUAAAAUCAGGUUUUCUUAUGACCUCCUUCUCACUGAAGAUGAAUAGCUGUGUCAACUUACAGAAGAUGAAGAAUGUAGUCCCAGUUCCUCCACUUUUGGCUUAUAAUAAUGGGUCAGUGGUCAUGGGGACUAUCAGGACCCUAAAGCCUCAGGAUCUUGAAUUCACAUCACUAGAACAUCCUCCUCUACUUUCUUCUCAGUUGUUCUUGGGAUGUAAAAUGUCAUCUACGCCUUGGAGAAAUGCCGCCUUGUGAUCAGAUUCUGGAAACAGCUGUUAUCAUUUCCCUCAUUUUAGCACAACUUGCGGUCAUUCUCACCCCAUCCCAGGUGCUUUCACCUAUCCUACACCUGGGUUUACUUCAUUUGUUCUUCCCUGAUUAGCCUCUGUCUGCACCUUCACUCUCCUGAAGUCUUAGAAAAUGUACUCACCCUUAAACAUUUCUCUGGUGCUCUCCAAGAUGGGUGUAGAGAGGCACCAAUCCAUGGCAGGUAUAGGUUAAUAUAUAUAGUAGCUUCCAGUUCAAUGGAGUGGCUAUGGAUUCAAAUUAUUUUCCAAUACAGAGUCUCAUAAUGUUAAAUACUUGACUUUCACAAUGUUUAAAGUAUUGGAGAGGUAUGAAUGGCCUCCGCAAUUGACACAAGAGUCACUGAGAGAUUCUUAAGAAUGGCAGUUCUUCCCGGAAUUUUACCAGCUGGAAAUCUUAUUUCAUAAAAGAAAUGUUGCAAUAAUUGAUGGAAACCCUAAUAUUUUCUUACAAAAGAAAUACGCAUUUGUAAAUAAAUAGCUGCUAUGUGACCACAAGUGGAUUCAUACAAGUCUGGAAAUAUUUUGAGAGCUCAUAGAUAUGAUUGCUACUUUUGUGUUCCCUUUGAUUUUUUUCUAAAUUUAUUAAGUGAUGGCAUUUAGCUAAGAAACAAUACUAUCUAAGCCUGUUUUGUAAAUAGCCCGUGUCCAAAUCAGCCAGGGUAAAUAGUUCUUUUUAUCGGGUUGAUUGCAGAAUACAGGUUUGUUUGUUUUUUAAUCUAUUUAAUUACAUUGGACCUGUUUAAUGGAAUAGUUUUUAUUUGCAAGGCAGAGUUACGCCUGGGAAAAACCAGAAUAAUCACACUUACAGGAGAGAUUUGGGACAAAAUACUAAGCUUUCGCUUUGAGCUGAAUCUCCCUCUUGUCAGCUGGAAAAUGGCUGAGCUGCAGCUGAAAUGAUGGAUUCUUUUGCCUUGUCCUACCAUGGGGCAGAAGUAAGGGGUUGAAUAUGAGAGAUGAGCCUCACAAGGAGGAGACGCUUACCUGCAGAGAUAUUUAAGCAAGUGUAGGGUCAUGUGUCAUCUGAUUCAAAAGAAUUCUUUAUGUUCCAAGAGAAACUAUUAUUUGGUAAAAAUACUAAUAUAUGUCUUGAAACCACUUUUCUGACCUUUAGAUUAAAUUUUAAAUCGAGAUUAUGGAAAAAGAAGGCUGUCUUUUCAGAGCAUAUUUUUGCCCCUUAAUUGGUUCCUGUUAGUUUUAAAAAUGAUUAACCAUUUGACAUGACUACUCAAAUGACAGACUGUUUGUAUUAAACACAUAUUACAAUUUAUUUUUCCAUAUAUAAUUAGAAAUAAUCAUUGCUGCCAGAAUGUAAAAUGACACGUCAAUGAUAAGUAGAGAUAAUAGCAGCUGCAUGCAAGAAAAGGCAUACAAAACACCUGAAGCUUAUAAUUAUAUCUCUCUCCCACCCCUUACAUUUAUGUCAUGAUGCAUCUUAGGUGACAUAGACCUUAGGUAGUCAUUAAAGUCACAUGAAUACUAGUAUUUAUGGCAAAUAUAUAGGUAUCCCUUGAGCAUAUGUUUUUUCAAUAUUGAAAAAUAUCAAUAACUGAGAUAAUUGGGAGUACAUUGUACCAAAAUGAGAGCUCUUAUUAGGAAUCUUAAGUUAUGUAUCAUCUUUGUAAUUUGUUGAAUUCAGUUGAAUACUCACUCUGUGGUAAAUACACUACUAGUCACUUUGGAGGACAUACUAAAGAGCCACUGCUUCCCUUCAAGAGAGUUACAUCUCUGUUGGAGGUGGAGACAGGACAAAAAAGAGGAAGAACAAAUGAUAUCACAUCUGUCUAAUUUUUCUAAGUUGUAUAGUUUUAAGAGUCUAAGUGGUAUAGGAAUUUGGAGAGAGGAUAUCAGGAGGGAUGUGUAGAAGUUGUAAGCUUGAGCUGAAUUUUGAAGGUUAAGAGAAUUUAUAGAUAAAGUUAGGUAUCAGAGACAUUUCUCAAUAUUUACAAGUGUUUUGUGGCUUAGUUUUAAUUCGAUUUUCUUUCUAUUUUCUGAGCUAUGUUACAUUUGCUCAUUUAACCAACAUUAUCUAACCUUUAUAGAUAACUACAUAUUGCUUUUAAGAUUCAAAAGAAGAAGCAUGGCCUCCCAGUGUGAUCUAGUUGAACAGUAGAAAAUAGACCCAUCAAGCUGCUUGGCAACAAGUACAUGGUAAAGGACUUUGCUUUUAUCUGUAUUUUAACUCCAUUAGUACAUGGACUAUAUGGCGCUAACCUUCCUAGCAGUUUCUCCACUCACAAUUCAGGAAAUAUUGCACAGUAGGUUGAAUUGUUUUUGAACAAUCCAAAAACUUUUACUGGAUUAACUUUUGGGCAAAAUGUGGCAGGCAAGUUUGUCAGAGUUUUGUUUAUAUUUGAUUCGUUGAAAGUGAAACUUAAAACAUAACUGAAGUGUCUUAAAAGAGAUUUUAUAAAACCAUAGAUUAACUCUUUAAGUGAAAAACACAUACAACGUUCUGCAGGGUGAGUUAUUAUUUAUGUAAAGCCAUAGAGUUUUACAAGUAUUUUUGAACAUGACAUUUUCUAUUUGAUAGUAAAUGUUAUUUUGUUCUUAUUGGCUAAUUAUAUGCUUUUAUCGGCAAAACAAAAAUUGGGCAUUUUAAGUCAAUCACUUUAUUGGAGUUAUUUAUACAAAAUAUCUUAAUCCAGUCUUGUCUAACACUAUAGCUAGAGGCUAAGUAUAAUUUUAAUGACUUAAAAUGCUUUAUUUUGAUAUGUGCUGACUUACGUAAGGAUAAUGCAUUCCUAUGAGAGUCAUUAUGAUUAGAAACUAGUGGCCCUUAUUAUGUCUUUAAUCUCUCUGUAGUCCUUGAGGUCUUUUGGGGGCUAUUCUUCAUGGGAAUAGUGCCUCCAAAGUCCCUGCUCAUCCAGAUAUCACAGAGCAGUGAGGCCUAAAAAGGGUAGACCCUAAACUUCAGGGUAGACAAAAUCGUUUUUGUGAGAGCAGCAGAUCAGGCCAUAUGCACUUUUCCAACCUGGUAGAGCUAUAUAGAACCUAGAAUUCCUGUGCUUCUUCAAGGGGGCAAUCUGUAAGGAGUACUAGGAAUGUAAACUCUUUGAAAGGCCCAUCAUGAUAUCAUCUUUGUGAAUCGGCACAAGUGUUUUCAUGGUUCCCAUGACUUCCAAACCACAGCUUAUGUUGUCCAGCUGUUCAAUGAGAAUCAAAUGAAAAAUAUGGUUUUAUUGUAGGCUCCUGUAUAAUCACACCACUUAAACCUAUCAGGGUGGCUUGAUAUCAGCCUCAAUCAUAUAAAUACUAUUAUAGGAAGUAGAAUAACAUGGAGCUAAUUAAGAAAUCAUUGAUUCGAGUCAACAAGUAACAUUAUACUGCUAAGAUACUAUGUAUUAUGAGCAAUAUGUGAAUAAUAAAAGAGGAAAAUUUAUCCUCAGAACUUAAGAUCUAGCAGGAGACAUUAGGACAAGUAUUUACCCACUGCUAUCAAAAGAAAGAGAGAGCGAGCUAUGUGCUUUGAAGUUAUGAUAAGGUCCUUGAAGAAGGUAGAACUAUAGAAGAGAGGUGUGGGGGUGGAGGGGGAGAGAUCUCACUUCUGACUUGGGAACAUCAGAAAAGGCUUCACAAAGGAGGCAGAACCAGAAAUGAAACAAAAAGGGUUCCAUGUGAUUGCAUUUAGGACCAACCCAGAUAAUACAGGAUAAUGCUCCCCGUUCAUCAUUCUUAAUCAGGUCUUCUGCUAUGUAAGAUAAUUCUCACUCUUUUUUCAUGUAAAGUGAUAGUCGCAGGUUCUGGGGAUUAGGAAGGGAAUAUAUAUUUGAGGGGCUAUUUUUUUUUUUCUGCCUACCAUAACUUUAUAAAUCCUGUGAGAAAGUUUUAUAAAAAAUCAAGCCUUAGAAGUAAGAUUUUAGAAAACAGUUUGAUUUUGCUUUAAAGUGGGCUGAGGAAAUGGUGCGCAUGAAAACAGCGAACUUAGCUGCCAGAUUUAAGAAAGGAACUCAAAAGAUAAGCACCUGAAAUAAAACACCACCAUUUGGAAAAAUGAGAAGAAGAUUUGAAAUAAUGAUGAUAUCUUUUUAA